CCUGCCCUCACCUGGCUAUCCCACACAGGUGAGAAUAACCAGAACUCACCUCCGGUACCAGUGUUCACUUGGAAACAUGGCUCUCAGCCUCUGGCCCCUGCUGCUGCUGCUGCUGCUGCUGCUGCUGCUGUCCUUUGCAGUGACUCUGGCCCCUACUGGGCCUCAUUCCCUGGACCCUGGUCUCUCCUUCCUGAAGUCAUUGCUCUCCACUCUGGACCAGGCUCCCCAGGGCUCCCUGAGCCGCUCACGGUUCUUUACAUUCCUGGCCAACAUUUCUUCUUCCUUUGAGCCUGGGAGAAUGGGGGAAGGACCAGUAGGAGAGCCCCCACCUCUCCAGCCGCCUGCUCUGCGGCUCCAUGAUUUUCUAGUGACACUGAGAGGUAGCCCCGACUGGGAGCCAAUGCUAGGGCUGCUAGGGGAUAUGCUGGCACUGCUGGGACAGGAGCAGACUCCCCGAGAUUUCCUGGUGCACCAGGCAGGGGUGCUGGGUGGACUUGUGGAGGUGCUGCUGGGAGCCUUAGUUCCUGGGGGCCCCCCUACCCCAACUCAGCCCCCAUGCACCCGUGAUGGGCCGUCUGACUGUGUCCUGGCUGCUGACUGGUUGCCUUCUCUGCUGCUGUUGUUAGAGGGCACACGCUGGCAAGCUCUGGUGCAGGUGCAGCCCAGUGUGGACCCCACCAAUGCCACAGGCCUCGAUGGGAGGGAGGCAGCUCCUCACUUUUUGCAGGGUCUGUUGGGUUUGCUUACCCCAACAGGGGAGCUAGGCUCCAAGGAGGCUCUUUGGGGCGGUCUGCUACGCACAGUGGGGGCCCCCCUCUAUGCUGCCUUUCAGGAGGGGCUGCUCCGUGUCACUCACUCCCUGCAGGAUGAGGUCUUCUCCAUUUUGGGGCAGCCAGAGCCUGAUACCAAUGGGCAGUGCCAGGGAGGUAACCUUCAACAGCUGCUCUUAUGGGGCGUCCGGCACAACCUUUCCUGGGAUGUCCAGGCGCUGGGCUUUCUGUCUGGAUCACCACCCCCACCCCCUGCCCUCCUUCACUGCCUGAGCACGGGCGUGCCUCUGCCCAGAGCUUCUCAGCCGUCAGCCCACAUCAGCCCACGCCAACGGCGAGCCAUCACUGUGGAGGCCCUCUGUGAGAACCACUUAGGCCCAGCACCACCCUACAGCAUUUCCAACUUCUCCAUCCACUUGCUCUGCCAGCACACCAAGCCUGCCACUCCACAGCCCCAUCCCAGCACCACUGCCAUCUGCCAGACAGCUGUGUGGUAUGCAGUGUCCUGGGCACCAGGUGCCCAAGGCUGGCUACAGGCCUGCCACGACCAGUUUCCUGAUGAGUUUUUGGAUGCGAUCUGCAGUAACCUCUCCUUUUCAGCCCUGUCUGGCUCCAACCGCCGCCUGGUGAAGCGGCUCUGUGCUGGCCUGCUCCCACCCCCUACCAGCUGCCCUGAAGGCCUGCCCCCUGUUCCCCUCACCCCAGACAUCUUUUGGGGCUGCUUCUUGGAGAAUGAGACUCUGUGGGCUGAGCGACUGUGUGGGGAGGCAAGUCUACAGGCUGUGCCCCCCAGCAACCAGGCUUGGGUCCAGCAUGUGUGCCAGGGCCCCACCCCAGAUGUCACUGCCUCCCCACCAUGCCACAUUGGACCCUGUGGGGAACGCUGCCCGGAUGGGGGCAGCUUCCUGGUGAUGGUCUGUGCCAAUGACACCAUGUAUGAGGUCCUGGUGCCCUUCUGGCCUUGGCUAGCAGGCCAAUGCAGGAUAAGUCGUGGGGGCAAUGACACUUGCUUCCUAGAAGGGCUGCUGGGCCCCCUUCUGCCCUCUCUGCCACCACUGGGACCAUCCCCACUCUGUCUGACCCCUGGCCCCUUCCUCCUUGGCAUGCUAUCCCAGUUGCCACGCUGUCAGUCCUCUGUCCCAGCUCUUGCUCACCCCACACGCCUACACUAUCUCCUCCGCCUGCUGACCUUCCUCUUGGGUCCAGGGGCUGGGGGCGCUGAGGCCCAGGGGAUGCUGGGUCGGGCCCUACUGCUCUCCAGUCUCCCAGACAACUGCUCCUUCUGGGAUGCCUUUCGCCCAGAGGGCCGGCGCAGUGUGCUACGGACGAUUGGGGAAUACCUGGAACAAGAUGAGGAGCAGCCAACCCCAUCAGGCUUUGAACCCACUGUCAACCCCAGCUCUGGUAUAAGCAAGAUGGAGCUGCUGGCCUGCUUUAGUCCUGUGCUGUGGGAUCUGCUCCAGAGGGAAAAGAGUGUUUGGGCCCUGCAGAUUCUAGUGCAGGCGUACCUGCAUAUGCCCCCAGAAAACCUCCAGCAGCUGGUGCUUUCAGCAGAGAGGGAGGCUGCACAGGGCUUCCUGACACUCAUGCUGCAGGGGAAGCUGCAGGGGAAGCUGCAGGUACCACCAUCCGAGGAGCAGGCCCUGGGUCGCCUGACAGCCCUGCUGCUCCAGCGGUACCCACGCCUCACCUCCCAGCUCUUCAUUGACCUGUCACCACUCAUCCCUUUCUUGGCUGUCUCUGACCUGAUGCGCUUCCCACCAUCCCUGUUAGCCAACGACAGUGUACAGCAGGGCUACAGAGGGUCAGAGGAAAACAGUUUGGAGGAAGACAAAGGGUUAAGACCCAUGACUCCUCGCAGCCUGGCUGCCAUCCGGGAUUACAGCCCAGGAAUGAGGCCUGAACAGAAGGAGGCUCUGGCAAAGCGACUGCUGGCCCCUGAACUGUUUGGGGAAGUGCCUGCCUGGCCCCAGGAGCUGCUGUGGGCAGUGCUGCCCCUGCUCCCCCACCUCCCUCUGGAGAACUUUUUGCAGCUCAGCCCUCACCAGAUCCAGGCCCUGGAGGAUAGCUGGCCAGCAGCAGGUCUGGGGCCAGGGCAUGCCCGCCAUGUGCUGCGCAGCCUGGUAAACCAGAGUGUCCAGGAUGGUGAGGAGCAGGUACGCAGGUGGCAUAUGAACUUCUGGGUGUGUUGCGCUCAUCUGGAGGAGCGGUGCUGAGCCCCCGGGAGCUGCGGGUCUGGGCCCCUCUCUUCUCUCAGCUGGGCCUCCGCUUCCUUCAGGAGCUGUCAGAGCCCCAGCUUAGAGCCAUGCUUCCUGUCCUGCAGGGAACUAGUGUUACACCUGCUCAGGCUGUCCUGCUGCUUGGACGGCUCCUUCCUAGGCACGAUCUAUCCCUGGAGGAACUCUGCUCCUUGCACCUUCUGCUACCAGGCCUCAGCCCCCAGACACUCCAGGCCAUCCCUAGGCGAGUCCUGGUCGGGGCUUGUUCCUGCCUGGCCCCUGAACUGUCACGCCUCUCAGCCUGCCAGACCGCAGCACUGCUGCAGACCUUUCGGGUUAAAGAUGGUGUUAAAAAUAUGGGUACAACAGGUGCUGGUCCAGCUGUGUGCAUCCCUGGUCAGCCUAUUCCCACCACCUGGCCAGACUGCCUGCUUCCCCUGCUCCCAUUAAAGCUGCUACAACUGGAUUCCUUGGCUCUUCUGGCAAAUCGAAGACGCUACUGGGAGCUGCCCUGGUCUGAGCAGCAGGCACAGUUUCUCUGGAAGAAGAUGCAAGUACCCACCAACCUGACCCUCAGGAAUCUACAGGCUCUGGGCACCCUGGCAGGAGGCAUGUCCUGUGAGUUUCUGCAGCAGAUCAACUCCAUGGUAGACUUCCUUGAAGUGGUGCACAUGAUCUAUCAGCUGCCCACUAGAGUUCGAGGGAGCCUGAGGGCCUGUAUCUGGGCAGAGCUACAGCGGAGGAUGGCAAUGCCAGAACCAGAAUGGACAACUGUAGGGCCAGAACUGAACGGGCUGGAUAGCAAGCUACUCCUGGACUUACCAAUCCAGUUGAUGGACAGACUAUCCAAUGAAUCCAUUAUGUUGGUGGUGGAGCUGGUGCAAAGAGCUCCAGAGCAGCUGCUGGCACUGACCCCCCUCCACCAGGCAGCCCUGGCAGAGAGGGCACUACAAAACCUGGUUCCUGUCUACAAGGCCUGGCCCGUUUUGCCUCUGGGUUCUGUUCCUUGAUAAUAUGCUUCACGUUACUUGUCCAUACCUCUUGGAGUCCGAGAAAUCUCUUGGAGUCCACCUCUCAGUCUUUCUGCCUGCUCCUAUCUGGUCUCAUUGCUUAAGAAAGUGAACAAAGGCUCCAAAGGAGACUCCAGUCUCAGGGGAAGUGCUGGAGACCUUAGGCCCUUUGGUUGGAUUCCUGGGGACAGAGAGCACACGACAGAUCCCCCUACAGAUCCUGCUGUCCCAUCUCAGUCAGCUGUAAGGCUUCUGCCUAGGAGAGACAUUUGCCACAGAGCUGGGAUGGCUGCUAUUGCAGGAGUCUGUUCUUGGGAAACCAGAGUUGUGGAGCCAGGAUGAAGUAGAGCAAGCUGGACGCCUAGUAUUCACUCUGUCUACUGAGGCAAUUUCCUUGAUCCCCAGGGAGGCCUUGGGUCCAGAGACCCUGGAGCGGCUUCUAGAAAAGCAGCAGAGCUGGGAGCAGAGCAGAGUUGGACAGCUGUGUAGGGGGCCACAGCUUGCUGCCAAGAAAGCAGCCCUGGUAGCAGGGGUGGUGCGACCAGCUGCUGAGGAUCUUCCAGUUGUGGGGUCCCCCCCGGGGAUUUGGUCCUGAGCAGAUCCUGCAGCUCGGUAGACUCUUAAUAGGUCUGGGAGAUCAGGAACUACAGGAGCUGAUCCUAGUGGACUGGGGAGUGCUGAGCACCCUGGGGCAGAUAGAUGGCUGGAGCUCCACUCAGCUCCGCAUUGUGGUCUCCAGUUUCCUACGGCAGAGUGGUCGGCAUGUGAGCCACCUGGACUUCGUUCAUCUGACAGCGCUGGGUUAUACUCUCUGUGGACUGCGGCCAGAGGAGCUCCAGCACAUCAGCAGUUGGGAGUUUAGCCAAGCAGCUCUCUUCCUGGGCACCCUGCAUCUGCAGUGCUCUGAGGAACAACUGGAGUUUCUGGCCCACCUCUUUGUACUGCCUGGUGGGUUUGGCCCAAUCAGUAACUGGGGGCCUGAGAUCUUCACUGAAAUUGGCACCAUAGCAGCUGGGAUCCCAGACCUGGCUCUUUCAGCACUGCUGCGGGGACAGAUCCAGGGCGUUACUCCUCUUGCCAUUUCUGUCAUCCCUCCUCCUAAAUUUGCUGUGGUGUUUAGUCCCAUCCAACUAUCUAGUCUCGCCAGUGCUCAGGCUGUGGCUGUCACUCCUGAGCAAAUGGCCUUUCUGAGUCCUGAGCAGCGACGAGCAGUUGCAUGGGCCCAACAUGAGGGAAAGGAGAGCCCAGAACAGCAAGGUCGAAGUACAGCCUGGGGCCUCCAGGACUGGUCACGACCUUCCUGGUCCCUGGUAUUGACUAUCAGCUUCCUUGGCCACCUGCUAUGAGCCUGUCUCUACAGUAGAAGGAGAUUGUGGGGAGAGAAAUCUUAAGU
ensembl:lncRNA STRCP1 stereocilin pseudogene 1